CUGCUCACUUUGGCAGCACCUGUACUAGAAUUGAAAUGAUACCGAGUUUAGCACAGUUUCUGCAGAAGGAUAACAAUAAAAUUCUUGAAGAAUUCCAUAUUUUU